UUUCGAAUCAUUCACAAUGGGGGAAACCCUGAUGGUACAACGCCGCGUGAGGGAUGAAGGUCUUCGGAUCGUAAACCUCUGUCGUAGGGGAUUAAAGGUGUGACAACACACCCUGAACUAACCCUAAGAGGAAGUAGUGGCAAACUCUGUGCCAGCAGCCGCGGUAAUACAGAGACUACAAGCGUUACUCGGAAUCACUGGGCGUAAAGCGUGCGUAGGCGGGCGAGAGAGUCACGCGUAAAAGGCUGGGGCUUAACCCCAGUUACAUGCGUGAGACCCCUCGACUUGAGCUAUAUAUAGAGGUAAGCGGAAUUCCUGAAGUAGCAGUGAAAUGCAUAGAUAUCAGGAGGAACACCAGAGGCGAAGGCGGCUUACUGGGUAAUAGCUGACGCUGAGGCACGAAAGCGUGGGGAGCAAAAG
rnacentral:rRNA from 1 species